ensembl:snRNA RNU6-763P RNA, U6 small nuclear 763, pseudogene
GUGCUGGCUCUGCCAGUGCAUACACUAAAAUUGGAGCUAUAUAGAGAAAAUUAGCACGAUCCUGUGCAAGAAUGACAUGCAAAUUCCUGAAGCAUUUGAUAUUUUA